CCGGAAGUCAUUGCUAUCGGAGUCCGAUUUAGCCAUGCUAGUCGUGCGAGUUCAGACUCGCGGCAAAUAGCUCAGUAACACGUGGUCAAGCUACCCUACAGAGAACGAUAUCCUCGGGAAACUGAGGCCAAUAGUUCAUAAGGUUCCCACGCUGGAGUGCCGGGAACUGGAAACGUUCCGACGCUGUAGGAUGCGGCUGCGGUCGAUUAGGUAGACGGUGGGGUAACGGCCCACCGUGCCGAUAAUCGGUACGGGUUGUGAGAGCAAGAGCCCGGAGACGGAAUCUGAGACAAGAUUCCGGGCCCUACGGGGCGCAGCAGGCGCGAAACCUUUACACUGCACGCAAGUGCGAUAAGGGGACUCCGAGUGCGAGGGCAUAUAGUCCUCGCUUUUCUGUACCGUAGGAAGGUACAGGAACAAGAGCUGGGCAAGACCGGUGCCAGCCGCCGCGGUAAUACCGGCAGCUCGAGUGAUGACCGAUUUUAUUGGGCCUAAAGCGUCCGUAGCUGGCCAGACAAGUCUGUCGGGAAAUCCAUCCGCUCAACGGAUGGGCGUCCGGCGGAAACUCUCUGGCUUGGGACCGGAAGGCUCGAGGGGUACGUCUGGGGUAGGAGUGAAAUCCCGUAAUCCUGGACGGACCACCGAUGGCGAAAGCACCUCGAGAAGACGGAUCCGACAGUGAGGGACGAAAGCUAGGGUCUCGAACCGGAUUAGAUACCCGGGUAGUCCUAGCUGUAAACGAUGUUCGCUAGGUGUGGCACAGGCUACGAGCCUGUGCUGUGCCGUAGGGAAGCCGAGAAGCGAACCGCCUGGGAAGUACGUCCGCAAGGAUGAAACUUAAAGGAAUUGGCGGG
rnacentral:rRNA from 1 species